UACGUAGGGUGCAAGCGUUUGUCCGGAAUUAUUGGGCGUAAAGAGCUCGUAGGCGGUUUGUCGCGUCGAAUGUGAAAACUCGGGGCUCAACUCCGGGCUUGCAUUCGAUACGGGCAGGCUAGAGUUCGGUAGGGGAGACUGGAAUUCCGUGUGUAGCGGUGAAAUGCGCAGAUAAUCAGGAGGAACACCGGUGGCGAAGGCGGGUCUCUGGGCCGAUGACUGACGCUGAGGAGCGAAAGCG
rnacentral:rRNA from 1 species